rnacentral:rRNA from 1 species
UGCCGCGUGAGUGAAGAAGGCCUUCGGGUUGUAAAGCUCUUUUGUCAGGGAAGAAAAGGCUGCGGAUAAUACCUGCGGCUCAUGACGGUACCUGAAGAAUAAGCACCGGCUAACUACGUGCCAGCAGCCGCGGUAAUACGUAGGGUGCAAGCGUUAAUCGGAAUUACUGGGCGUAAAGCGUGCGCAGGCGGUUUUGUAAGACUGUCGUGAAAUCCCCGGGCUCAACCUGGGAAUGGCGAUGGUGACUGCAAGGCUAGAGUUUGGCAGAGGGGGGUAGAAUUCCACGUGUAGCAGUGAAAUGCGUAGAUAUGUGGAGGAACACCGAUGGCGAAGGCAGCCCCCUGGGUCAAAACUGACGCUCAUGCACGAAAGCGUGGGGAGCAAACAGGAUUAGAUACCCUGGUAGUCCACGCCCUAAACGAUGUCUACUAGUUGUCGGGUCUUAAUUGACUUGGUAACGCAGCUAACGCGUGAAGUAGACCGCCUGGGGAGUACGGUCGCAAGAUUAAAACUCAAAGGAAUUGACGGGGACCCGCACAAGCGGUGGAUGAUGUGGGAUUAAUUCGAUGCAACGCGAAAAACCUUACCUACCCUUGACAUGGGAUGGAACUCUCUGAGAGAUU